rnacentral:rRNA from 1 species
AGCUCAAAUUUGAAAUCUGGCUUCGGCCCGAGUUGUAAUUUGCAGAGGAUGUUUCUGGCGCGGUGCCUUCCGAGUUCCCUGGAACGGGACGCCAUAGAGGGUGAGAGCCCCGUAUGGUUGGAUACCAAGCCUGUGUGAAACUCCUUCGACGAGUCGAGUAGUUUGGGAAUGCUGCUCAAAAUGGGAGGUAAAUCUCUUCUAAAGCUAAAUAUUGGCCAGAGACCGAUAGCGCACAAGUAGAGUGAUCGAAAGAUGAAAAGCACCUUGAAAAGGGGGUUAAACAGUACGUGAAAUUGUUGAAAGGGAAGCGCUCAUGACCAGACUUGUGCUGGGCAGCUCAUCCGGGGUUCUCCCCGGUGCACUCUGCCCAGUUCAGGCCAGCAUCGAUUUUUGCUGGGGGAUAAGAACGGUAGGAACGUGGCCCUCCUUCGGGAGGGUGUUAUAGCCUACCGUACGAUACCCUAGCGGAGAUCGAGGUUCGCGCAUCUGCAAGGAUGCUGGCGUAAUGGUCAUCAGCGACCCGUCUUGAAACACGGACCAAGGAGUCGUCCAUUAGAGCGAGCGUUUGGGUGUAAAACCCGCACGCGUAAUGAAAGUGAAAUUAGGUGAGAGCUUCGGCGCAUCAUCGACCGAUCCUGAUGUUCUCGGAUGGAUUUGAGUAAGAGUUUUAACGGACGGACCCGAAAGACAGUGAACUAUGCUUGUAUAGGGUGAAGCCAGAGGAAACUCUGGUGGAGGCUCGCAGCGGUUCUGACGUGCAAAUCGAUCGUCAUAUAUGAGCAUGGGGGCGAAAGACUAAUCGAACUGUCUAGUAGCUGGUUACCGCCGAAG